CAUAAAAAAGCAAGCAUGCGUCUGCUGGGACUCUCUGUCCAAUGUGCCAAAUAACACUUCUCAAAUGUUUCACCUCCCUCCUCUCAGAAACUCUCUCAAAGUCUCACUUCUCAAAAUUUUUUCCCCUGCUCUUCGUUUGCCUGCCAGAACAGAAUAGAAAAAACGCAGGUGACACCUUUGUCUCACCCAUUCCUCCUCACUUCUUUGUUAAUGGCGGAUUCCUCUCAAGGUCUCUCUUCAAAUAACAGUAAAGGGGAAACAAGGAUGAAGGGGGAAGAUGUUUGAUUCAUCUCAGUCAUCUGAAUCAUUUUUUCCCCAAAUGUAAUCAUGUCUCUCCAAACGCAGGAGCAAGAACCUUCGUCCCUCUUCUAAGAUGUGGAAAAUCUGAUAUAGGUGAAAAUAUGUGCAAGAGGUUUUACUGAAAAAUGUUGUUCACAUUUUGGUUGUUGAUUAUUAUUGAAAUUGACUACUGUCACAUUGGCUAAGGUCCUAAGGAGAACUUGAGCCGUGGUGAAGAGGAGGCUGAUGCUGAUGUUGCUAUUCAAGAAGAGGCAAGGCAGCGAGAUAAUUGGAAAAAUGAUAACCUACAUCGUGUUGGCAGUCAGAAGCUCAAUUGUUAUAGAGAUUAUUUUCAUGUGGAUGGGGUAUCUUCUGCGAGGCGCGUUCUUUUUUGUUCGUCCUUCUAAAUGUAUUGCCUCCAUUGUUUUCUUUUUUUAUGGAUUUUUUGUGCUAUUUUUCCCGGUUGUUUCUUCAUCGAUUUUAAGCCGUAAUGGUUUCCGUCGUUCCCUCUUUUUUUUUUCCUUUUCGUUUUGCUGUGGAUGGAAUUUUUGCGGUUUGGUGGUAUAGAGGUAUCUUCUGUGAGGCGCUUUCUUUUUUUGUUCGUUCUUCUAAAGGUAUUGCCUCCAUUGUUUUCUUUUUUUUAUGGAUUUUUUGUGCUAUUUUUUCCGGUUGUUUCUUUAUCGAUUUUAAGCUGGAAUGGUUGUGGUUUGGCAGUACUCCCGCCAUUUGCUCUUUUUUAACCUUUGCUGCGGCUAGAAUUCUUGCGGGUUGGUAGCAUAGAAGUAUCUUCCACCGGUUGUUUUUGUUCGGCUUUUUUAAGCUGGAAUGAUUUUUAAUUUCUGGACUCUUAUGCUCCAUCUAAGAUAGAGUUGGUAGCGCAGAAUCAUCUUUCCCCGCUUGCUCUGUUUUUGUAGGUGAGAAUCGCGGCCAUUAGAAUCGCAUUCUUGAACUCCGACAACUGGUUGCUGAACCCACUGUGAGGUGCGUACCAGAGGAACUUUUCUCCCCUGAAUUUGGUUCCAUUGUCUUUUUUAAGGUACCACCUUCUUUGUUCUGAUGUUUUUUCCAUUUUUUUUAUUUCCCUUGUUCGAGCUUUUGUGGAUUAGCCUAUAUUUUCAAAGCGAAAAGUGAAGAUUGAAUCCAUAUUGCGAGCUGCUGAGUUGCGGCACAUUAAAUUGAACACGGUUGCAUAUAAUUCUGCAAAUUGGAAGUUACAUGAAUUUUGGGGACUUUGAUAGAGCAAUAAUGGUAUAUGGGUCGAUGAGGAAACAUAAUGUUAAACCUGAUUUUGUCACUUACAAUGUGUUGAUAAGUGGUUGCUGUAAGAUGUCAAAGUUCUCUAAUGCACUUGAAUUUCUCAAUGAAAUGUUGGCCCUCAAAGUUCCAUUAUCACAAGAGGUGUAUUCAUCUGCUAUAUGUGCCUAGAGUAAACAGGCAAGGACUAUCGAUUUGUGACUACUGUCCCUGUAAUUAGAUUCUUCCAUACUUAAAUCUCUCUCUCUCUCUCUCUCAGGGUCAACUUACUGGAGCAGAAUCAAUGUUUUCCAUGAUGAAGAUGGCCGGUUUUCAUCCUGAUGUUGUCACAUAUACUGCUAUGCUACAUGCAUUUAGUGUUGCUGAUGACUGGGAGAAAGCUUUUGCAAUAUUUCAAGAAAUGGAAUUGCAUGGUGUCCAGCAAUUCAAGGGGUGGUUUUGUAAAUGAAGCAAAGCUCCUCCCGGAACUGAGCCCAAUAAAAUUCUUUCCUUUGUUGGAAUGCAUAUGGAUGUUGUUACUACCAACCCUUCUGACUGGAAUUUUGAUCCUUUUUUGCUGAGCAUUGAUGAGGAUAAACUACGGGGACGUGGAACUACUGAUUGCCUUGGGCAUGUCGCUCUUGUAGCUGAACUUAUGAAGAAACUGGGAGAGACAAAGCCACAGCUGAAGCAUCAGAAGCCACGGGUGAUGAAUCUAAAAAGAUAUAGCAUCAACUUACAAAGCUUCAACCUGCAAGUUAUUAGGUUUUCUGAAUAUGUAGAGAAUACCUCGCUAUAUAGUUUGUGAUUUUACUAUCCAGUGCAGCAGCCAGGUACAUUAUCAUCAUCGUUGCCAAAUUCAUGUAAUGCAAUGGAUUUGAAGUCUUUGCAUUGCCUUGAAGUUUAAUGGACUUUUGGAUUAUCAACCUUAAUCUAUAUAGCUCAGUGAUAUUUUUCCCUCUA